rnacentral:SRP_RNA from 2 species
CGCGGGAGUCGGGCGGACGCAGUGUUCGCGAACCUGGUCAGGUCCUGACGGAAGCAGCCACAGUGAUGUUUCUGCGGGUCGUUCCGGCUCCUACCUUU